AACGAACGCUGGCGGCGUGCCUAACACAUGCAAGUCGAACGUGAUUAGAGGGCUUGCUCUCUAUGAAAGUGGCGCACGGGUGAGUAACGCGUAGAUAAUCUACCUGGUGAUCCGGGAUAACAGUUCGAAAGGACUGCUAAUACCUGAUAAGCCCACGGAGUCCUUGGACUCUGCGGGAAAAGGGGGGGACCAUUUGGCCUUCCGUCAUCAGAUGAGUCUGCGUACCAUUAGCUAGUUGGUAGGGUAAAGGCCUACCAAGGCGACGAUGGUUAGCGGGUCUGAGAGGAUGAUCAGCCACACUGGAACUGAGACACGGUCCAGACUCCUACGGGAGGCAGCAGUGGGGAAUUUUGCGCAAUGGGGGAAACCCUGACGCAGCAACGCCGCGUGAGUGAGGAAGGCCCUUGGGUCGUAAAGCUCUGACAGAGGGAAAGAAAUGCAGGGGAGCUAAUAUCUCCUUUGCUUGACGGUACCCUCAAAGGAAGCACCGGCUAACUCCGUGCCAGCCGCCGCAGUAA
rnacentral:rRNA from 1 species